AGCGAACGCUGGCGGCAGGCCUAACACAUGCAAGUCGAACGAACCCUUCGGGGUUAGUGGCGGACGGGUGAGUAACACGUGGGAACGUGCCUUUAGGUUCGGAAUAACUCAGGGAAACUUGUGCUAAUACCGGAUGUGCCCUUCGGGGGACAGAUUUAUCGCCUUUAGAGCGGCCCGCGUCUGAUUAGCUAGUUGGUGAGGUAAUGGCUCACCAAGGCUACGAUCAGUAGCUGGUCUGAGAGGAUGACCAGCCACAUUGGGACUGAGACACGGCCCAAACUCCUACGGGAGGCAGCAGUGGGGAAUCUUGCGCAAUGGGCGAAAGCCUGACGCAGCCAUGCCGCGUGGAUGAUGAAGGUCUUAGGAUUGUAAAAUCCUUUCACCGGUGAAGAUAAUGACUGUAGCCGGAGAAGAAGCCCCGGCUAACUUCGUGCCAGCCGCCGCCGUAAAAC
rnacentral:rRNA from 1 species